rnacentral:rRNA from 1 species
GAAGUGCACUCCUACGGGAGGCAGCAGUGGGGAAUAUUGCACAAUGGGCGCAAGCCUGAUGCAGCCAUGCCGCGUGUAUGAAGAAGGCCUUCGGGUUGUAAAGUACUUUCAGCAGUGAGGAAGGUGGGUAUGUUAAUAGCAUAUUCAUUUGACGUUAGCUGCAGAAGAAGCACCGGCUAACUCCGUGCCAGCAGCCGCGGUAAUACGGAGGGUGCGAGCGUUAAUCGGAAUUACUGGGCGUAAAGCGCAUGCAGGUGGUUUGUUAAGUCAGAUGUGAAAGCCCGGGGCUCAACCUCGGAAUUGCAUCUGAAACUGGCAAACUAGAGUACUGUAGAGGGGGUAGAAUUUCAGGUGUAGCGGUGAAAUGCGUAGAGAUCUGAAGGAAUACCGGUGGCGAAGGCGGCCCCCUGGACAGAUACUGACACUCAGAUGCGAAAGCGUGGGGAGCAAACAGGAUUAGAUACCCUGGUAG